rnacentral:misc_RNA from 1 species
ACAGUUUUCAAAAAUUCCAUAGAUCCAAAAAUGGAACCGACAGUGCCGCAGAAUGAACGGACAUGAUCCAAUUGCACUCGUGAUGAAGGUUUACUUUUAUUUAUAUUCGUUGUCAUUAAACCGUUAGCAUUCAAUUUGUAGUCCUUGUUGCGACGCCACAUAUAAGUCUAUAUAUUUCAUUUGCAUGGUGGGUUGCAUUAUGUACAUUUUCAGGUAAAAUGCCGAAAAUGUUAUUGAACAAGAAGGGGCGUUCCAUCAUGUACACGUAUAUGAACUAAAAUGAACUUUGAUUAACUAUUUGCAAAGAAUGUCAACUGUCUAUAGCCAUAUGUUUGCUAUGUAUGUAAUCUUGCCUUUGAAGAAAUCCGAGGUUUUAUACGGCAGCUUGGAGCUUUUAUACUCCAUUUCAAUUAGACUUGUUGCCAUUUUUUGGUGAGGGGAUGGUCUCUUUUACUUAUAUAGGGGAUAUGUUAUUAUAUUCCUGCUAACUGGUACUUAUAACAUGGUCAGUAACCAGUACAUUGUUAGACUAUAUAUUUUAUCUUUGUAUUUUAUAUUUAUGUAUUCUACAUACAUGUGUAAUCUAUUUAGCUGACUUAAAGUGCGUCAAGUAAUGCUAUAAAAUCAAUGAUUCUUCGAAUUAAUCCUGUGAUGGCUAAAUCUAGUAUAUGUUAUCAUUUUAGCUAGCUUUGAUUCAGUCCUGCUCAAUAUUGCUUCCAAUCUUUUAAUAAAACGCAAUCACUGCAAUUG